AUUCUUCAUACCUUCCCUUAUAUAGAGAGAGAGAGGUUGGCAAAGAUAAGAAGUUAUAACCAGAAAUUUUAUUUGGACUCCUAACCACAUAUGACUCUUUUAAAAUCCAAAUAUCCUAAUUGACCAACUAAACAACUUGCCAACUAUAGCUUGGCCACUCGUGGAAACCCUUCUUGGCGUGCGGAUUGGAGCCUAGGAAGAAAGGAGUCAUCCGCAAGCAAGAGUCCUACUUCGAGUGGUAUUCCUUUUUACUGCAUAAGAUCAAGUCCUAAUGUGAUUAGGACUCUCUCCUUUAUGAUACAUGGCCACUCCUACAUAACCAAUGACCCAUUUA
rnacentral:lncRNA from 1 species